UAUUUCCAAUAUUCCUAUACAUUUCCAAUACAUUCAUUUAUCUGUCAUUUUUAUUUUCAUAUUAAUUAACCAUGGUGACGGGCCUCAAACAUAUUUGACUUUCCCCGCACUCCUAUGUCACGCAUGCGCACUUCAGUAAAUAGAAAUACAUGGUAGUAGAAGCCAUUUUUCUUCUCUUGUCUUACGACAAAUUCUUAGUGCCGCUUUGCGUGCCUUUACAGAUAAUAGUAAAUAUAAAAGGGAGCCUUCACCUGUUCACAGAACUCUUGCCGCGAAAUCAGAUUACGAGGUUCGUUACCCACUCGAUUGCAUCCACAUAGGCGUACACUGUUGGCUGGGUGAGACGAUCCAUAGAAAUGUAAAAGAUAACGGUAAACUUCACCUGUUGGCAGAAAUCUUAUCGUGAAAUCAGAUUAUGAGGUUCGAUACCCACGCGAUUACAUCCACAUAGGCAUACACUGUCAGCUGCGUGAGAUGAUCCAUAGAAUUCUCGUAUGACGGUGGUUCCAUACAGGAUGUAGGUCGGAAUGACUCCACGGCUGAUCGUCAGGAACAACCACGCAAUCGUGAGACCGCCCGUUUUCUGGUUGCCAUGGUAAUAUAAAUGGAAGACAAUACAUACAGAACAUUGACGGAGGUGUUUUUUUAAAUUUGGAGCAUGUAGGGCAUGUUGUGUCUCAGUCGCAACAAUUAAAACUGAAGAUGGCAACGAUCAAAACCAUACAAAGAUGCAUACAGAUUGUUGAUGGACGUAUUUUCAGAUUUGGAGCAUGUCGGGUUGUGAUUUAGUGUUCAACGGCAAAGAUCAAGUGCCAUACAUCAUGGACGAAGGUGGACGAAGGUAUUGACAGGUCUGAACCAUAAAUGGGUUAUCAUGGAAACUUGUAUCUACAUCCCUGCAAUGGUAUAAUGGAUGACGGACGUUCAGAUGUAAAAAGUUAUACAGCAAAGUUUUGGAGCAUAUAGGUUGUGUAUGUUUACUUUUCAUUUCUUUUAGCGACACUUUGAUAUAUUUAUGUCUCGCCCACUGUGGGGGAAACAUAUUGUUUUUGCCCUGUCCG
rnacentral:lncRNA from 1 species